rnacentral:piRNA from 1 species
CCUUUGGGUUCCUGUGUACUUGC